rnacentral:ncRNA from 1 species
UAAAUAAGCUUGGCUCUGACUUGUUAAUAUAGCAGGGACUAAAAAAUACACAUGGUUUUUAUCGAUAGAAGUGAGGUAAAAGAGAAUAUAGUAAGAGUGAACAACUUUAAUCUGAUGUUUUUUUUUAAAGUAUUAUAGUUCUAAAAAAUGCUUUGGAAAGUCCCACUAACACCAGUGCUGAAGAUUAAUCCAUAAAGGCGGAAGCCUGAAUUAAUUUAGUACACUAGAAUCUGGUUAACUUGGUGCCAGCAUCCGCGGUUAGACCAAGAGAUUAAGUUAUAUUUUUAGGUAAAAAGGCAGUUAGGCAUAGAAUAACUUAGCUUAUUGAUCAUUUAUAAAAAAGUAAAAUUUGUAUAUAAGUAGUUAAUCUGAUUAUUGCUAAUUUGCUGACGCUGUGAUAGUUUUGAGGGAAACUGGGAUUAGAUACCCCAUUAUUCUUAACUGUAAAUCUAAUUAAAUUUACCAGAGUACUAUGAAUAUUUAAUAAAAAUUUAAAACUCAAAGGGCUUGGCGGUGUUUUAGACCUAUUAGGGGAACCUGUCUCAUAAUCGACAAUCCACGUUGAACCUGACCUUGUUUUGUACUCAGUUUGUAUACCGUCGUCGUCAGGUAACUUUUAAAGAAUUAGAAGUUAGCGGUAAAAAUUUUAUAAAUUUUAACGUCAGAUCAAGGUGCAGCUAAUAAAGAGGGGAAGAUGGGUUACAAUUAUUAUACUUAUAACUACGGAAAACUAUAUGAAUAUAUAGUUAUGAAGGAGGACUUAAAAGUAAAAUAUAAUAUAUAAACAAUUUGAAUAUGGCUCUGAAACGUGCACACAUCGCCCGUCGCUCUCGUUGAAAAAUGAGAUAAGUCGUAACAUAGCAGAGGUAAUGGAAAUUGUCUCUAGAU